rnacentral:lncRNA from 1 species
CAGAUAUUAUAACACCAAACAUAUCACUAGCUCUGUAUAACUAUCUAUGUCAUAACAUCGUAGGAACAGAAGAACAUGUUAAAACAAUCAGAUUAAUGAACACGGUGAGAGAUAAUUUGUCAAGUAACAAGUCAUUAUACAUUUAUAACAAGUGGAAGCUAUGGAGAAGGACUUGAAAUGCGAGGAAGUGAUUUAGAUAUAAUGCAAGUAGAAAAAUCUAUUAAGGUGAAUGCGGAUAAACAACCCGACUUUGAUCCAAGAUUAUACUUAUCUGUCCAUGGAUACAGACGAUGUAAAACCUGGUUUUACUCAAUUAAGGCUAGAAUAUAGCAGAGAUCAGUUUAAUUUGGAAUGUUGUGAAGAACAUAAUGGUAAACAUUAUUUUUCAAGUGCAUUAUGUAAGGGAAAAUUUUAUUGCUUGGGGAUACGGCGAAACAAUUCAUGGACCGUGUAUAACUGACAAGAGAAGGAGAUUUUGAUUUUGCCUUUUCUUUACAUUGUAAAACGUGGAUAUCUUCUGCUGUUAAUUGGAUAACAAGAUCAAGUAGCUCAUGGCCAAGUCAUAACGUCACACAAAGUAUUAUAAAACACGGAGUACUUUUUGUACCGAUCGGAGUUCACGGAUCACCUAAAGAAGAUCUAGAAUGGCGAGUAUCUUUUUCAGUGGCUGAAAAACUUCUAAUUAAUACAUUUACUCACACCCAAUUAAUGUGCUAUGCUCUCUUAAAAAUAAUUUUGAAAGAUGUUAUAGCAAAUGAUUCUGAAUGUAAAGAUUUACUCUGUUCAUAUUUCCUUAAAACAAUUAUUUUCUGGAUAUCUGAAGAACUACCAUCAUCUGUAUGGAAGCCUG